rnacentral:lncRNA from 1 species
GACGGUAUACUCUGGCCCACAGAGCGUUUUUGGACUUCUAGCCGUCAAACUAAUUAUUCUCCUCAACCAAGAGUCUCAGAAGCUUCGCCUUUCUUCUUUUAGCUAUUCAGAUGUAUAUCUUGCUCUCUUCCAAAAAUCUGUUGGCAUAAAAGAUAUGAUAGUUACUACCAGAGCAUCACUCUGGAGCUACACUUCCUGGGCUGGAGCUUGGUCCUGUUUUCCUGACAGUGUGACGUUGGUCAGGUUACUUGAUGUGAUGGCCAAUCCCAGUUGUCAACUUGAUGAGAUCUAGAAUCACUUUGAAGAAUGGCUUCUAGGCAUACCUGCUAAGUAUUAUGUGACUUGAGGUGGCAAGACCUGCCCACUGUGGGCAGCACCACUCCCUCCACGGUAUGCUGGAUUGAAGAUGUAGAAGAAACAAUUCAAGAAAGAACAUACAUUUGACAUUUUCUGCUUUCUGACUGUGAAUUGGAUGUGACCAGCUG